GGCCUGCGUGUGGGUGACAUCAAAGCCAGGAGCCAGCGCCGCAGCGCAGCGCUUGCUAUCAUCUCCAAGCUGCAGCUCAGUCAGGCGGCUUUUGGGAAGCUCUCCAUGCACAUGGCCAGAAAAUGCCUGGAGGUAAAGCUUCAACGCUUCCCUGCGGUGGUGCGGAGGUCCAUGCAGAAGCAGCGUGGGGCGCCCCUUGCCUGCCCAGCUGGCACCAGAGCACCGAGAUCCCAGACGGUUCGUAGAUACUUCCCCAGCCGUCAGGCUCUGUUCCUGAAUGAGGAGCAGCGCGAGUGCCUGGAGCUGCACAUCCGCUCCAUGAAGCUGGAGCGCCUUGGGAACCGCCUCAUCUCAGGCAGUCCAUUGAAGCCAGCAGUGCCCCAGGAGGAAGAAUCUGCCAGCACGUAUGUGACCGCACCGUCCGAGGCAUCUUGGGCUGAGGCAAGCCCCAAAGGCCACAAGCGGCAGCCCCGGAAGGGGAAGAAGUGCCCUAGCAGAGGCAAGAGCACGCGGGGUGCCAAAGUGGCAGGCAGCAGCUUUCCACCUGCCAGGGUAACAUUCUGUGGGGUGCAAGAGACCACCACCAGCUACCGCACCUCACUGUUAUACAGAGACCCUGACAGUGGACAGUUGUACCCACUGACCGUGGCCGCACCAACUAACAAGAAGGUUUUGAGGAAGAUACGCGUGAUACCCCAAACACCGCGGAUCUCUCCCUCUAAGCCCAUCCAUGUGUUCAUCAGGGAGAGGAAAGGCCAGGCUCGGUAGCGCCGUCUGUCCAAAAAAAUCUUUUUUUUUUUCUUUUUUUUUUCUUUUUCCUAAAUAAAUGAGUGUAUCUACUAGUGCCGAAGAGCUUUCUCUAUGGGGGCCUCCCUGGGAACCGAGGGGGGAGAUGGGCUCGGGAGUAGCAGGGAUGGUGUGCUGUCCCACAGGAGGACAUGCAGAUGAGGAUAAGCCCCGGCAAGUUGGCUGGGGCUUCUUCUCCCCCCCGGCCGUGCCCUGGGGGCAGCCUGGGGCUCUGUGACUCAUCUGGAGGCGCAGCACCAAGUCCUGCACGGCCUGACUGGCUGCGAGGGGACUGCGGGCUCCCACAGCACCAGGAACGGGCCGUCGGCUCCUCCUGCAGGCAGGCAGGCAGGCAGGCUUGAGGUGGUGCAGGGCAAGUCCUUUGCCUCACCUUGGCCUGUGAUCCAGGAGUCAGCCCUGUCCGCUCGGUGCGGAUGGGGAUGGGGAUGGGGAAGGCAGCAUGAAGCAGGGACCAAGGCCCCAGAAUGGCGUCCAUUGCCCUCCCAGCACGGGCAGCUGCCAAGUCCUCCCUUGCACUGGCCACAUGGUGCAUACGGAAAGAACUGGGUUCUCACAUUGCUGAAGAAUUUAGCUGCAGUCUGUCCCUGAGCAACAUUGUGGAUAACUGUCUUAUGCAAGUAAUAGACAGCCUUACCAGGAGAGAUGCAAUAAUAGUCCUGUUGCUCACCAAUGUAAAUGAAGUGGUUGUUGACAUCAGAAUUGGAGACUGCCUGGUCUGUAGGCACCAUGAGGUGUGUUCACACUGGCAGAUUUGUAAAGAAGCUUUGUUAAGGUUGCAAUUGCUUUCUGUUCCCAAGUGUAGCAAGUAUGGAAUGGAAGGCUAGAGGCCAGCAUGGCUGAACUGAAAUCCUGCUUGUCACACUGAAGAGGAAGAAGAAGAUGCACUGGCAGUAGAACCAGGGACAUGCACUGUAGGAAGAGUAUAAGAAAGCCACUAGGUUCCACAAGGAUGGGCUCAGGAAAGUGAAGCCGCAGGUUGAACUGAACUUUCAAGGGAUAUCAUAAAGAACAAGUAAGUCUUUUACAAGGACCUCAACCUGUAC
ensembl:lncRNA